CUCGAAGGACAUUUAGAUAGUUAGAAAAAAUUAUGGCUCUUUGUUUGCAAGUUCUAUAUCCUCUUAGAAAAUUUAUUUUAUUUGGGAGCCACAAUCCCUCUUUCCUUAAGAUUAACUUUGAUGGUAUUAUUCUAAAUGGAGAGGUGGAUGGGAUGGAGUUAGUUUUAUCAUAAGAAGAAUAGUAAAGUUUUAGUUGCGGC
rnacentral:lncRNA from 1 species